GGUGCAAGCAACGUGUCAUUGUGGUUAGAAAAAAUGAAUCAGUAUACAUGUGAUUUAACUGUAAAAGCCGGAAUCUUUAAAGCAUACAUCCCGCCCAAGGCAUGCUGGGAUGAUCUAUCAGGCAGCUUGGAAACUUCCAGACGCCGAUAUGCCUUACAUUCGGUGCAGCCGAGGUUAUGAACUGUCAAGUGGAAUAUGCCCCUUGAGGAAAACAAUUAGGAUCGACUGUCCAGCGAGGAGAUUGCGGAAUCAGCAACUGACAUAUUGACUGAUGAAACAUGAUGGUGCGUGCAGCAAGAGAGGGUUUGACUGCAGAUCCUGACCACCUGCCCCUGUCAAUUUGUACCAACCACAGGCGAAAACAAGAAGAAACGCUUUGAAUACCUGCGGUCUUCUAUCAGCGAGACAAGUCCCUGAAGCUAUAAAUCAAUAAACUUUGAUGUAUUCUGCUUUGGAGGUAUAA